rnacentral:rRNA from 1 species
AUACGGAGGAUCCAAGCGUUAUCCGGAAUCAUUGGGUUUAAAGGGUCCGUAGGUGGAUAAUUUAGUCAGAGGUGAAAUCCUGCAGCUCAACUGUAGAAUUGCCUUUGAUACUGGUUAUCUUGAGUUAUUAUGAAGUAGUUAGAAUAUGUAGUGUAGCGGUGAAAUGCAUAGAUAUUACAUAGAAUACCAAUUGCGAAGGCAGAUUACUAAUAAUAUACUGACACUGAUGGACGAAAGCGUGGGGAGCGAACAGGAUUAGAAACCCUAGUAGUCC